UACGGAGGAUCCAAGCGUUAUCCGGAUUUAUUGGGUUUAAAGGGUGCGUAGGCGGCUUAUUAAGUCAGGGGUGAAAGACGGUGGCUCAACCAUCGCAGUGCCUUUGAUACUGAUGAGCUUGAAUACACUUGAGGUAGGCGGAAUGUGACAAGUAGCGGUGAAAUGCAUAGAUAUGUCACAGGACACCAAUUGCGAAGGCAGCUUACUAAGGUGCAAUUGACGCUGAGGCACGAAAGCGUGGGGAUCAAACAGG
rnacentral:rRNA from 1 species